rnacentral:rRNA from 1 species
AGCGAACGCUGGCGGUAGGCCUAACACAUGCAAGUCGAACGGCAGCACCGUAAGAGCUUGCUCUUACGUGUGGCGCGUGGCGGACGGGGGCGGUAUACAUCGGAAUCUACUUUUUCGUGUGGGCUAACGUAGGGAAACUUACGCUGAUACCACAUACGACCUCCGGGUGAAAGCAGGGGAUCUUCUGACCUUGCGCGAUUGAAUGAGCCGAUGUCGGAUUAGUUAGUUGGCGGGGUAUAGGACUACCAAGGCGACGAUCCGUAGCUGGUCUGAGAGGAUGAUCCAGCACACGGGCAGUGAGGCUGGGCACAGACUCUGACGCGAGGACGCAGUGGGGAAUAUUGGACAAUGGGGGAGAGCCGGAUCCAGCCAUACCGGGGGGGUGAAGAAGGCGUUCGGGCUGGAGAACCCUUUUGUUGUGAAAGAAAAACAGCAGUUUAAUACCCCGCUGUCCUGACGGUACCCAAAGAAGAAGCACCGGCUAACUUCGUG